AUUAUGUCAAAGAGGUUUGUGUUUAUUUUCUCUGGUCUCCGUGGUUCUGAGUCCUGCUGACAGAAGACGUCUCUGAAUUCUCUCUCCUCCUUCAUGGUUCUGGUUCCACAGAGCUG